CCCUUCCUUAACCAACUGAGCCACCCGGGCACCCCAGGUUGAAAAUGCAUGUAAAUAUACCCAGUCUACCAAACAUCAUAACUCAGAGCACUUAACAUUAGCCUGCAGUUGGGCAAAGUCAUCUAACACAAAGCCUAUUUUAUACUGAAGUGCGGACUGUCUAGUGUAAUUUAUUGAAUACUAUCUGUUGAAAGUGAAAAGCAGACUAGUUGUACGGGUACAGAGUGGAUGUCAGUGUACCAGUUGUUUCCCUCGUGGUCACGUGGCUAAAGAGGCACUGUGGCCGCCACCGCCCAGCAUCACAAAACUGAAAAUUCAAAAUUUGAGGAAUGGUUUCUACAGGAUGCAUUGUUGCUUUCACACCAUGGUAUGUAAAGUAGAGAAAUCAUAAGUUGAGUCAUAAGUCAGGGUCAGCGUAAUGAUUUGGGUUAUUUGGGAAGCUGGGCCUAGAAUGCAGUCCCUUGAUAGUACAGUGCCUUUUUUUUUUUUUUUAACGUAACUGCUGUCUACACAAUGCAUUUUUCACAGAUGCCAAUUCUGAUUAGAAAGGUCCUUCAAAAUGUUUUCUAGCCUAAAAAUUUUGCUCCAUUCCUCUCUUUUGGGCUCACUUUAUGUUAAUCGUCUCUGCUUAGCAUCCAAUUUUCUAUUUUCUGGGGCUCAUUUCUCCACACCCUAGCUUGCAGAAAAGUAGAAAUGGGGAUUAACUGGUAUCCAUCUCUCUAUAGAUUCCCCAAUGAGAACUUGUACAGCUCAGAAAAGAGAUGAGGUGUAAGGACCUUGAAAUUAAUUGGAGUAAAUGACAAAAUAAGAACUGCUCUAAGAAACAUUCCUUUCAAUUUGGCUGUCAAUUCAGUAUUUUUAAGUAUAUUAUUUCUUACCACUUCCAAAGUUGUCAGUAAGUGAUCAAGUUAAAGUAAAGGAAUUACUCGGUUUGAUAUUUGUCUAAGACUUAUUUUACCUAACAGAAUAAAGCCAAAAAGAAUUUCAAAACAAUUACCCAAAAGAUUUCUGUGAAAUAAAGGUAUAAUUUCUUAUCAAGGCCAAGAAUCUGUAGGUUAUUAAGGACAACAAUGUGACGUUGAGGGCAAAAAGGAGAGAGAUGUUCUAAUCCACUGUAUGGAAAUAGUAAAUGAAAAGCAAGGUAGGUAACACAACUUUUAGACCAUGUUUAAAGCAUACAUUAAAUGUAUUGAAAUGUUCUCUUUCUUAGAGAUCCAUAGAGCUUAGGAAAAUUCAGAUGCAGAAACAGGAUUGAAGAAGGAAACAUUUUGAAAACAGAUGGAGGAGAAAUGAUCAUUUGGGAACAUGUAACAAGGUGGUAGAUGAGGGUCAUCUGUGCUGUAGUAAUAAUAUGGUGCAGAUGAAAGGAGAGGAAGUAAUGAUGUGUAAUAAAGAAUUUGACCUGGCCCUAAGAGGUCUGGUCUUUGCCUACAGCUUCUGAAAGGUAAUCUAGGUCACACCUCAUAGGAGUAUCUCUGUUUUGGGUGAGAGCUAGUCACAAUGGAUUUCAGGGUGGGGCUGACCACACCUGACAGUCUUAGCCAUGCCAGAGAAACCACAUGAUUUAGAGCGAGGGGCAUUGAGUCACCUGGGAUCAGGCCACUUGGCAGCUGAGAUCAACCACCCAGGGGGAGAGGACACAGAGAAGCUGUGACUUUGGAACCCUCCAGGACUUCAUCCUAUGUGUUGCUUCCCUUGGCUGAUUUUAAUCCGUAUCCUUUCCCUGUAACCAUAACCCAUAAAGAGGAUUAACGGGCCCCAGCAGCAAAUACAAGUUCCUCUGCUUGCCAACCCUUUUCAUCAGCUGCACUGUGCACCCCAGUGAGCUCUGCCGAACCUGCUGCCAUCUG